rnacentral:rRNA from 1 species
GAAACUGCGAAUGGCUCAUUAAAUCAGUUAUCGUUUAUUUGAUAGUACCUUACUACAUGGAUAACCGUGGUAAUUCUAGAGCUAAUACAUGCUAAAAAUCCCGACUUCGGAAGGGAUGUAUUUAUUAGAUUAAAAACCAAUGCCCUUCGGGGCUCUCUGGUGAUUCAUAAUAACUUCUCGAAUCGCACGGCCUUGCGCCGGCGAUGGUUCAUUCAAAUUUCUGCCCUAUCAACUUUCGACGGCUGGGUCUUGGCCAGCCAUGGUGACAACGGGUAACGGAGGGUUAGGGCUCGACCCCGGAGAAGGAGCCUGAGAAACGGCUACUACAUCCAAGGAAGGCAGCAGGCGCGCAAAUUACCCAAUCCCGACUCGGGGAGGUAGUGACAAUAAAUACUGAUACAGGGCUCUUUUGGGUCUUGUAAUUGGAAUGAGUACAAUUUAAAUCCCUUAACGAGGAACAAUUGGAGGGCAAGUCUGGUGCCAGCAGCCGCGGUAAUUCCAGCUCCAAUAGCGUAUAUUAAAGUUGUUGAGGUUAAAAAGCUCGUAGUUGAACCUUGGGCCUAGCCGGCCGGUCCGCCUCAC